GCGGAAAUAGCUCAGUUGGUAGAGCAUAACCUUGCCAAGGUUAGGGUCGCGAGUUCGAGUCUCGUUUUCCG
rnacentral:tRNA from 2 species